CAGCCCCUCAGUAGAAGCAGACGGUGUGCAGGAAGGUCCGGCCGCUCUUCUCCUCCAGUUCCUGGAUCAGUUCAUCGAUUUCAUUCUCCAUGUCCUCGGUGCGCUGAAUCUAAACAGGACAAAUACGGCUGAGAUGCUGCCGGAACCCGAGGACUUCCAACAUUUGCUGGGGACACAAGAGACUGCAGAUGCUGGACUCUGGAGCAGCAUUUGUUGAUCUGGGAAAUCACAAGAUGGGGGCAUCAGCAAACCACGUUUCACAAGCAGCUAGGUCAAUGGCGUGGUGAACACAAGGGACGGCCAUUUUACCUUCAAGCACCUGAUCGUACACACGCUCCUCACAUGUCA